rnacentral:rRNA from 1 species
CCUACGGGUGGCAGCAGUGAGGAAUAUUGGUCAAUGGGCGCGAGCCUGAACCAGCGACGCCGCGUGAAGGAUGAAUGCCCUACGGGUUGUAAACUUCUUUUAUAAAGGAAUAAAGUGAGGCACGUGUGCCUUUUUGUAUGUACUUUAUGAAUAAGGAUCGGCUAACUCAGUGCCAGCAGCCGCGGUAAUACGGAGGAUCCGAGCGUUAUCCGGAUUUAGUGGGUUUAAAGGGAGCGUAGAUGGGUUGUUAAGUCAGUUGUGAAAGUUUGCGGCUCAACCGUAAAAUUGCACUUGAUACUGGCAGCCUUGAGUACAGUUGAGGUAGGCGGAAUUCGUGGUGUAGCGGUGAAAUGCGUAGAUAUCACGAAGAACUCCGAUUGCGAAGGCAGCUUACUAGACUGCCACUGACAUUGAUGCGCGAAAGUGUGGGUAGCAAACAGGAUUAGAUACCCUAGUAGUC